CCUCCUUCUCCUUUUCCAGUUCAGCAGCGCAGAUUUCUGUUUGUGCCAGUGGGGCGGCCUGGCGAGACCGCAAUUGCUCUACCCCACAGAUUGACGAGCCCUCAGAUGCCGAUUUACUGUACAUGGCAGCCACGCUGGAGCCGAGGCACAUCUGGAGUGGAAUCUCAGUGGGAAACGGCCAACAUUCCUAAUGAGCCACCAUGGCCACGUCUCAGCCUUCUCACCCAGGGAAGCACUGGGUAUCACCUUCCUAUGGCUGUUUAAAAACCACCUGAGGAGAAAUUCAGUAAGGAGAGGACUGAUUGAUUGCAUGGCAGAGGCUGUUGGUCAGCUUGGAAAGACUGAGCAUCUCCAAGAAUACAUUAUUGACAUUUGAAUGGUAUUUCAGCAGAAGAUUGUGACAGAUGUGAAACAGUCAAACACCAGCAUCUGCAGUAUUUUUGACCCCAGGAUAAACUGUUGUACUUUAAAAAAAUUAUCCUGUUGUACUUCCUUUGCUUGCUUUCAGUGUUUUGUUUUGCUAAAGCAAUAAAAGAUUCA